rnacentral:rRNA from 1 species
GAUGAACGCUGGCGGCGUGCCUAAUACAUGCAAGUCGAGCGAAUGGAUUGAGAGCUUGCUCUUAUGAAGUUAGCGGCGGACGGGUGAGUAACACGUGGGUAACCUGCCCAUAAGACUGGGAUAACUCCGGGAAACCGGGGCUAAUACCGGAUAACAUUUUGAACCGCAUGGUUCGAAAUUGAAAGGCGGCUUCGGCUGUCACUUAUGGAUGGACCCGCGUCGCAUUAGCUAGUUGGUGAGGUAACGGCUCACCAAGGUAACGAUGCGUAGCCGACCUGAGAGGGUGAUCGGCCACACUGGGACUGAGACACGGCCCAGACUCCUACGGGAGGCAGCAGUAGGGAAUCUUCCGCAAUGGACGAAAGUCUGACGGAGCAACGCCGCGUGAGUGAUGAAGGCUUUCGGGUCGUAAAACUCUGUUGUUAGGGAAGAACAAGUGCUAGUUGAAUAAGCUGGCACUUUGACGGUACCUAACCAGAAAGCCACGGCUAACUACGUGCCAGCCGCCGCAGUAA